AAAGGAAUUGACGGGGGCCCGCACAAGCGGAGGAACAUGUGGUUUAAUUCGAUGAUACGCGAGGAACCUUACCCGGGCUUGAAUUGCACUCGAAUUACUUGGAAACAGGUAAGCCGCAAGGCGAGUGUGAAGGUGCUGCAUGGUUGUCGUCAGCUCGUGCCGUGAGGUGUCGGCUUAAGUGCCAUAACGAGCGCAACCCACAUCAUCAGUUACUAACAGGGCGAUUACAUCAAUGCUGAGGACUCUGGUGAGACUGCCGUCGUAAGAUGAGAGGAAGGUGUGGAUGACGUCAAAUCAGCACGGCCCUUACGUCCGGGGCGACACACGUGUUACAAUGGGGGGUACAGAGAGUUGCCAGGCGGUGACGUCGAGCUAAUCUUGAAAACCUCUCUCAGUUCGGAUUGGAGUCUGCAACUCGACUCCAUGAAGCUGGAUUCGCUAGUAAUCGCGCAUCAGCCAUGGCGCGGUGAAUACGUUCCCGGGCCUUGUACACACCGCCCGU
rnacentral:rRNA from 1 species